rnacentral:misc_RNA from 1 species
AGCAGCCGCGGUAAUUCCAGCUCCAAUAGCGUAUAUUAAAGUUGUUGCAGUUAAAAAGCUCGUAGUUGAAUUUCGGGGUUAGCAGGUCGGUCGUGCCAUCGGUAUGAACUGGUCUCGCUGAUCCCUCCCUCUUGACGAACUGUGAUGCCAUUAAUUUGGUGUCGCAGGGAAUCAGGACUGUUACUUUGAAAAAUUAGAGUGUUUAAAGCAGGCUCACGCUUGAAUACAUUAGCAUGGAAUAAUGAAAUAGGACGUUUGAUCCUAUUUUGUUGGCUUCUAGGAUUGACGUAAUGAUUAAUAGGGAUAGUUGGGGGCAUUAGUAUUCAAUUGUCAGAGGUGAAAUUCUUGGAUUUAUUGAAGACUAACUACUGCGAAAGCAUUUGCCAAGGAUGUUUUCAUUAAUCAAGAACGAAAGUUAGGGGAUCGAAGACGAUCAGAUACCGUCGUAGUCUUAACCAUAAACUAUGCCGACUAGGGAUCGGAUGAUGUUAAUUUUUAAUGACUAC